CCACGCCAUAUUUCCGGAUAACAUCAUGUUGUUGAAUUAGAUUAAAAAGAUUAAGUUAUGGAAAACACCGAAACUUCUGAUGUUUGUUCUAAAAAUCAUGAAGAGCCACAUCUUGGUAUGUCGGAGUCAAAUGAAGAUAACGACCGCACCGACGAUGUAAGGAUUCAUUUUGACUCGACGACGACAUUUACACUACACAACACAGACAUCAAUGACAUCAAAGUUAUGAAAGACGGCACUAUUGUAAUCGCUGAUUAUCAUUGGCAGCAUGGUGCGGUGGUUACGUGUGACAUGCAAGGACAGAAUGUGCGGCGAAUAGAAGAACCGAGCGGUGGCAGGCCGUUUCGACUAGAUGUGAUGGAUGAUGAUAAUGUCGUCGUUUCCCUCCCAGAUAAGGGGGAUAUUAUGUUUGUUGACGUGAAGCGUGGAGUGAUUACAGGAUGUAUGGGUUGUACGGGUACCAACAUAGUCUACCGAUAUGGCGACAUAUAUAUUCAAAGUAAUGAUAUUAUUUAUAAGAUACGAAAGGGUGGCCAAUCACUAGGAACAAUAACUCCGUUUGAUUUUCGACCACUUUACUUCAGUGCUACAGACAAUGGAGGAUUAAUAUACUGCACUGUACGAAACAGAAAUGAAUUGAUUUGCAUGGAUGAUAGGGGAGUGACACAAUACGGAAUAACAGCACCAUUGAUGACGUCACCACACGGCAUUACAAUCGACGAUGAAUGGUUUAUAUAUGUCGUCAGCGCAAAAUCUCAGAAUGUGCAUAGAUUUCACGAGAGAGGCAUACCCUUUCAGAGAAUUAUCAGUCUGCCGUCUAAACUAAAAUCACCGACAAUAUGUUUUCACUCUGAUUCCAAGUCAAUAAUAAUUGGAGAUAAAGACACAGUAUUUAUUUACAAGAAAGAACUAGAUUUUUACUAAGAUUCCAACUGGUGCGUAUAUGGAAUGCUUUACUUUACUUUGUAAGAUUAGUUCUAAUUACGUGUUUUACACUUAUCGAUUGUAUUUUACAUAUUUCUGUGUUUUUGUUUUUUAACUUUGUCAAAAUAUGUAAAUAUUGAUAUUGAUUUCUAUUCACCGAAUUACUAUCAUCAUAAUAAUACAUUUAAAAUAAACUAAAUGCUUUUGAGUGGUUACUGAUAUAUUAUAUUUCUUACACUAGAUCGAACAUAUAUACCCGCAAUAAUACUUUCUGUCUGUAAAUUUCUAUUUCAUUAAAUUAGAAAUUAUGUUAACGUAAAAUUAAUGCACAACCCCCCUAGUCAAAUUAACCUUUAAACGGUUUUGACUGUUCUGUUAAGGUUUGUAUGGCUUGACAUCGGACACGUUAUGAUUUUUGCUUUCUAUUUUGGACUGGAGUUGUACAAUGUACCUGUUGAAGUUAUUCGAAAAACAUGUGUUUACGCACGAAAAUCAUAUCUUACAUUUAUAGUUUUGCAACAACAACAAAAAUAGAAAGAAACAAAAAUUAUGUAUACUCAAUGGGUAUUUGACAAAACAUGUAAAUGCGUAUGACAUUCUCUCUUCCGUUUGACAUCCGUUUAAUGUUUGAAUGUAACAAAUUUACGACACAUCGACAACAAAAGUAUAUAUCAUAUUAUAAACACCUAACAACAUGACCGAGUCCUACAUGUAUAGGCUAAACACUGAUGUCUUUGAUAUUCGGAAGGAUGAUUUACCAACAAAUACUCCGGAAACAUCCGAGAUUACUCUUAAAACAUCCGAACUUACCACCCACGAUGACACUGACGAGCGUUUUGAUAAAGUUUAUAAACUGGAGACAACAUUUAUUUUACCGAGCACGGACAUAAGCGACAUCAAAGUAAUGGAAGAUGGCACAAUUGUAAUAGCUGAUUUUCAACGUUGUUCUUUAGUUGUGUGUGAUAUAAAAGGGGAACAACUCCGUAGAAUCGGACAAACCGAUGGAUGGAGACCUUUCCGAUUGGAUGUGGUAGACUACAGUGAUGUCGUUGUUUCUCUGCCGCAGCGGAAUGAAGUCAUGCAGGUUAAUAUAAGGCGUAAUGAUAUCAAGCAUUAUAUUGUUACAGGGUGUCGCAAUGUUGCCUACCAUGACGGUGAACUGUUUGUUCAAAGUAACGAAAAGAUUAAUGUUAUUACUAUGAAAGGUGGCUUGAAGGAUACAAUAACGCCUCCUGGUUUUUACCCUAUCUAUUACCACGUGUCAAAGAAUGGGGAUGUUUUAUGCACUGCACGUGGUAAAAAUGACCUUAUAUGUAUAAACAGACUUGGAGUAGUACAAUAUACAGCACAUGCACCACAAAUGCUGUUUCCAUAUGGAAUCACAACCGACAGCAAAGGAAACAUAUUAGUUGUAAGUGCAGGCUCCAACAAUGUUCAUGUAUUUAGUCCCAAUGGAAGACAUUCUUCGUUGAUAGCUAAACUGCCUGUCAAUUUGGAAUUCCCGACGAUUUGUUUUUAUUCAAAUGCUCAAUCUAUUAUAAUCGGUGAUAAAGACCAAGUUUUCAUUUACAAAUGACAGCAUCUUUAUUAUGCAUUUAUUUGUAUGCUGUAAAAUAAAUAUUCUUGUCUACAGCUGCAUAUAGGUGCAUAUAUCCCACGGUUCUAAUGGACAGUAUAUGAAUGUAUACAUUGGCCGUUUUACAUGUAUAUAAUUUAAAGAUAUAAAUAAAUAUUAGCCGUAGUUCGGGAAAUGAUAGUCGUUUGCUUAUAUUUUCCCUUUUUAUUUGGCUAAACAAUUUGACUCGCACUUUUGAUAUUUUCAAAACAAUCUACGCUACAAAAUGAAUAGAGGAUUUGCAAUAUGUUGGUUAGUACAUACAUUUAUAUGAUUUUGAAUGUUAGUUCGAACAUUCUACAGAUAAAAUCAUUUAAAUUCAGAGAGCUUUACAAAGAGUCUCAUCCUUUCCAUAGAAAAUGAUAAUGUAUAACAUUGUCUUCUUUCAAUACAAUUACGACAGAUUUUAAAAUAGUAGAACUACAAUAUCAGUAAUGGACAUAACAAAAACUUCAUCACCAAACACCACAAAAAACUAUUCAACAGCUCUAGAUCUUAACAUAGAUCUUAAAUUUUUGAGCAUACCUUCUACGGCAAACACACGUGUAUCUGAUCCUUUUUGUUAGGGUGAUUAUUGCUCAAUCUUUAGUUUUCUGUAUGAUAUUUUAUGUGUGGUCGUUUGUCUGUUCGUCUUUUUCUUUUAUACAGUAUUUCUACGACUUA